AUUUGUGUAAAUGCUGUGAGUGCGUUGAGCUCUGCGCGAGCUGGGAGCAGAAUUGCCAUGGAAACGUCUCUCGCUGCUGUUUUCACUGCUUUCAGAAAUGGUUUAGCCUCUUCGAAAAAGUCCGUUAGCAUCUCAACCGUUUUCAGACGAGGAGGACAGAAAGAAACUCUACAGAACAGAUGGGAAGCUCCAAGAUUUCAACAUUUCUGAAGGAGCUGCUGACUGAGAAGUAGAAAAUACAGGUGAACUGAACUAGAAGCUCAUGAAAUAACUUAAUAUGCAUUUUUCCACAAUAUAUUUUACCUAUAUCCCCAUGCACCUGUUAUUUCCUUUGGCAAAAUGUGUGUGUGUGUGUGUGUAUAUAUAUAUCU